rnacentral:rRNA from 1 species
GGUUAAGUGACUAAGCGUACACGGUGGAUGCCUUGGCAGUCAGAGGCGAUGAAGGACGUAUUAACUUGCGAUAAGCCCAGAUUAGGCAGUAAAAGCCACUUGAGUCUGGGAUUUCCGAAUGGGGAAACCCAACUGCAUAAGCAGUUACUGUUAACUGAAUACAUAGGUUAACA